rnacentral:rRNA from 1 species
GAGUUUGAUCUUGGCUCAGAGCGAACGCUGGCGGCAGGCCUAACACAUGCAAGUCGAGCGCCCAGCAAUGGGAGCGGCAGACGGGAGAGUAACACGUGGGAACGUGCCCUUCAGUUCGGAACAACCAAGGGAAACUUUGGCUAAUACCGGAUACGCCCUUACGGGGAAAGAUUUAUCGCUGAAGGAUCGGCCCGCGUCUGAUUAGCUAGUUGGUGGGGUAAUGGCCCACCAAGGCUACGAUCAGUAGCUGGUCUGAGAGGAUGAUCAGCCUCACUGGGACUGAGACACGGCCCAGACUCCUACGGGAGGCAGCAGUGGGGAAUAUUGGACAAUGGGCGCAAGCCUGAUCCAGCCAUGCCGCGUGGAUGAUGAAGGCCCUAGGGUUGUAAAGUCCUUUUAACGGGGAAGAUAAUGACGGUACCCGUAGAAUAAGCCCCGGCUAACUUCGUGCC